UUUGAUUAUGGCUCAAGGAUGAAGGCUGGCGGCGUGCCUAACACAUGCAAGUUCGAGCGGCAGCGAGGGGGGCUUGCACCCUGUCGGCGAGCGGCGGACGGCUGAAUAACGCGUGGGAAUCUACCCUAAAGUGAGGGAUAACCGCCCGAAAGGGUGGCUAAUACCGCAUAUGAUCUUCGGAUUAAAGGAUUUAUCCGCUUUAGGAAGAGCCCGCGUUAGAUUAGGUAGUUGGUAGGGUAAUGGCCUACCAAGCCAACGAUCUAUAGCUGGUCUGAGAGGAUGAUCAGCCAGACUGGAACUGAGACACGGUCCAGACUCCUACGGGAGGCAGCAGUGAGGAAUCUUCCACAAUGGGCGAAAGCCUGAUGGAGCAACGCCGCGUGAAGGAUGAAGGCCUUCGGGUUGUAAACUUCUUUUAUGAGUGAAGAAUAUGACGGUAACUCAUGAAUAAGCACCGGCUAACUACGUGCCAGCAGCCGCGGUCAUACGUAGGGUGCAAGCAUUAUCCGGAGUGACUGGGCGUAAAGAGUUGCGUAGGCGGUUUAAUAAGUGAAUAGUGAAACCUGGUGGCUCAACCAUACAGACUAUUAUUCAAACUGUUAAACUCGAGAGUAGUAGAGGUAACUGGAAUUUCUAGUGUAGGAGUGAAAUCCGUAGAUAUUAGAAGGAACACCAAUGGCGUAGGCAGGUUACUGGACUAUUUCUGACGCUAAGGCACGAAAGCGUGGGGAGCGAACUGGAUUAGAUACCCAGGUAGUCCACGCCGUAAACGAUGGAUACUAGCUGUUGGAGGUAUCGACCCCUUCAGUAGCGAAGCUAACGCGUUAAGUAUCCCGCCUGUGGAGUACGGCCGCAAGGCUAAAACAUAAAGGAAUUGACGGGGACCCGCACGAGCGGUGGAUCAUGUUCUUUAAUUCGAUGAUAAACGAAGAACCUUACCAGGGUUUGACAUCCCGAGAAGAUUUACGAAAGUAGAUUGUGCCUUUUGGAACUCGGUGACAGAUGAUGCAUGGCCGUCGUCAGCUCGUGUCGUGAGAUGUUUGGUUAAGUCCAUCAACGAGCGCAACCCUUGUGAAUAGUUGAAUUUUUCUAUUCAGACUGCCCCGGCAACGGGGAGGAAGGAGGGGAUGAUGUCAGGUCAGUAUUUCUCUUACAUCCUGGGCUAGAAACGUGAUACAAUGGCAAGUACAAUGCGCAGCGAAGCCGCGAGGUGAAGCAAAUCGCACCAAAGCUUGUCCCAGUUCGGAUUGGAGGCUGAAACUCGCCUCCAUGAAAGUCGGAAAUCGCUAGUAAUCGCAGGUCAGCAAAACUGCGGUGAAAUACGUUCCCGGGUCUUGUACACACCGCCCGUCAAAGGGCGAAAUUUCGUU
rnacentral:rRNA from 1 species